rnacentral:rRNA from 1 species
GACGAACGCUGGCGGCGUGCCUAAUACAUGCAAGUAGAACGCUGAAGAGAGGAGCUUGCUCUUCUUGGAUGAGUUGCGAACGGGUGAGUAACGCGUAGGUAACCUGCCUGGUAGCGGGGGAUAAAUAUUGGAAACGAUAGCUAAUACCGCAUAAAAUGGAUUAUCGCAUGAUAAUCCAUUGAAAGGUGCAAAUGCAUCACUACCAGAUGGACCUGCGUUGUAUUAGCUAGUUGGUGGGGUAACGGCUCACCAAGGCGACGAUACAUAGCCGACCUGAGAGGGUUAUCGGCCACACUGGGACUGGGACACGGCCCAGACUCCUACGGGAGGCAGCAGUAGGGAAUCUUCGGCAAUGGACGGAAGUCUGACCGAGCAACGCCGCGUGAGUGAAGAAGGUUUUCGGAUCGUAAAGCUCUGUUGUAAGAGAAGAACGAGUGUGAGAGUGGAAAGUUCACACUGUGACGGUAUCUUACCAGAAAGGGACGGCUAACUACGUG